rnacentral:rRNA from 1 species
AAUUCGAUUGUUUGAUCAUGGCUCAGGACGAACGCUGGCGGCGUGCUUAACACAUGCAAGUGGAGCGACGAACCAGGCUUCGGCCUGGGGCAAAGCCGCGAACGGGUGAGUAACACGUGGGUAACCUGCCCUGAUGAUCGGGACAACCCGGGGAAACCCGGGCUAAUACCGAAUGUGCCCGCGAGCCACAAGGCUCGCGCGGAAAGGAAGCUUUGGCCUCCGCAUCGGGAUGGGCCCGCGGCCCAUUAGCUUGUUGGUGGGGUAAUGGCCUACCAAGGCAGCAAUGGGUAGCUGGUCUGAGAGGACGAUCAGCCACACUGGGACUGAGACACGGCCCAGACUCCUACGGGAGGCAGCAGUGGGGAAUCUUGCGCAAUGCGCGAAAGCGUGACGCAGCAACGCCGCGUGGGGGAAGACGGCCUUCGGGUUGUAAACCCCUUUCAGUUGGGACGAAGCUUCGUCGGUGAAUAGCCGGCUGGAGUGACGGUACCUUCAGAAGAAGCCCCGGCUAACUACGUGCCAGCAGCCGCGGUAAUACGUAGGGGGCAAGCGUUGUCCGGAAUCAUUGGGCGUAAAGAGCGUGUAGGCGGCCCGAUAAGUCCGCCGUGAAAGUCCAGGGCUCAACCCUGGAAUGCCGGUGGAUACUGUCGGGCUAGAGUCCGGAAGGGGCGAGUGGAAUUCCUGGUGUAGCGGUGAAAUG